UUGGUCAAGCAAAUCUUGUCAGUAGAAAAACGCGGCAAAUUUGAAAAAUCGCGGGCUAGCAACACUGUGUUCGAAUAAUUCCAAAAUCGCGUGUAAUCUGUGUUUUAUCUGUAGAAUGUGGAUCGUCCAUCUUGUUUGUUUACAUUCCGAAUCGGUGCUAAUUCAAGAGAAAUUUCUGCUCCCAGCAUUAAAAUAAAUAUCAAUAUAUUCAAUAAUAUUGUGCAUGACCAUAAGCAAAGUCAAGAUGCCUACAAUGGUUAAAAGGCUUAAAUAAAGAUAAAACGUAUGCCUAACUAUAUCCAAUAAGACCACGAAUUGUGCCCUCGAAACCGCAACUGAUUCGAUUGUUCCCAAUAUCAACAGACGAAGUCCUCAAAUAUUUUCAAAGGAUUAAAACUCGCCCAAUAUAAGGCGUUCGUAAAAGUUUCUCUUCAUACAAAACUUACCUACGGCGGUUUACGUACAUACGUGUACAACGCAAACAAGACGAAAAAUAAACUUGUU